UGUCUGUGUCUGCCUCGUUUCAAUUUGGGACUGACUGUCGUUGUUCUCGGUGUUGACGGUGGGCGUGGCCUUGCCGGCGGUGAUGACGGCUUUGUCCGUGGCGGCGGCCGCCGCCUGUUGCAGCUGCGCGGUCCUCCCUGCUCCGCACCCCUCGACGCCCUGCUCUCGCGCUCUCCCUCCCGGGCGUGUAGUCUGUCGCUGUGUCGUGCCGCGGUCACCCUCGUCGCCGCCCCUCGUCUACCCACAGGUAAAGCAGGUUAGUAGCACAUAAAUCUUGUGGUAUGUGCAUAUCCCUUUCAUGAUGUAGAGAAGCAAUUUCAACUUAUCUGAUACAUGUUUAGUGAUUCAAGUACAAUUUUUAGUGAUUCAAGUACAAUUUUCAGUUCGGUUCAGCAUGUGUCUUGGGUCUUAUGUGCUAGAUCUGUUUUAAGCUAAGCGUGGGAGUUUGAGUUCAGGUCUGGAUUCCUAUCGCUACUGGUCUCUCUUUCUCCCUCUUUACGGACCUUCUCAGAUAAGGAGAUGAGCUGUUCGAUGACACACUAUUUAUCCUGUCACCCAUAACUUAUUAUGUGGAUUGUCAAAUCUCACUUACUGGAUCAUUUUCAAACUCA